CAGUAGCCGCGGUAAUACGGAGGGUGCAAGCGUUACUCGGAAUCACUGGGCGUAAAGGACGCGUAGGCGGAUUAUCAAGUCUCUUGUGAAAUCUAACGGCUUAACCGUUAAACUGCUUGGGAAACUGAUAAUCUAGAGUAAGGGAGAGGCAGAUGGAAUUCUUGGUGUAGGGGUAAAAUCCGUAGAUAUCAAGAAGAAUACCUAUUGCGAAGGCGAUCUGCUGGAACUUAACUGACGCUGAGGCUCGAAAGCGUGGGGAGCAAACAGGAUUAGAUACCCCUGUAGUCCCUGUCUCUUAUAC
rnacentral:rRNA from 1 species